rnacentral:rRNA from 1 species
UACGUAGGGGGCGAGCGUUGUCCGGAGUUACUGGGCGUAAAGCGCUUGUAGGCGGUCCACCAAGUUUGGGGUGACAGUUGCCGACUUAAUCGGCAAAGUGCCUCAAAGACUGGCGGACUUGAGGGCCACAGAGGGACAUGGAACUCCAGGUGUAGUGGUGAAAUGCGUAGAUAUCUGGAAGAACACCAAAGGCGAAGGCAGUGUCCUGGGUGGUCGCUGACGCUGAGGUGCGAAAGCGUGGGGAGCAAACAGG